rnacentral:tRNA from 1 species
GGGGUCGUAGUUAAUUAUAACAUUUGAAUUGCAUACAAAAAGUAUUGAACUUUCAAUCUAUCUCA